UACAGAGGGGGCGAGCGUUGUUCGGAAUUACUGGGCGUAAAGGGCGCGUAGGCGGCCAACUAAGUCAGACGUGAAAUCCCUCGGCUCAACCGGGGAACUGCGUCUGAUACUGGAUGGCUUGAAUCCGGGAGAGGGAUGCGGAAUUCCAGGUGUAGCGGUGAAAUGCGUAGAUAUCUGGAGGAACACCGGUGGCGAAGGCGGCAUCCUGGACCGGCAUUGACGCUGAGGCGCGAAAGCCAGGGGAGCAAACGGG
rnacentral:rRNA from 1 species